rnacentral:rRNA from 1 species
GGAAAGGAUAACCGCUGAAAGCAUCUAAGCGGGAAGCCCCUCCCAAGAUUAGUUCUCACUAGACUCUUGAAGUCUCUGAAGGUCCGUCGAAGACUACGACGUUGAUAGGCCAGGUGUGGAAGCACAGCAAUGUGUGUAGCUAACUGGUACUAAUUGACCGUGCGGCUUGACCAU